AGUGAACAGGAUGUUACCCUUAAGGUGCUUCAGAGAGCAAGUAUGUUACAGAUCUUUUCCACACAUACAUAAGGCAGCUUGAAUUUCUGGUAAUUGUGAGGGCUUGACUCUUGCAAUGAUUUCCAACAGACCCCUGGUGACUUUUGGGCUUUGUGAAGAUCAUUCCUGUGAUAUACUCAACCUGGAAGAAAAUUUUAUAGUGAAAAUUUAUGGGCGAAGACAUAAAGCUGCAACCUAAGCAGAUGGCCUGAUUUUCAUGAUUCCUUCUGAAAGGUGUCAAUCAUUUCAUGAGAUAAACACAGAAGAUAACAUUUAUGCUAGAAUAUUCUGCCACCUGCAGGAAUGGGAGAUAAGUCCAGGACGGCUUGAAUGGGCGCAGGAAUCACAGACAGAGGAAGCAUCUCUGCGUAAUUGAGACUGAGGCAUAUCGCGUGCCGGCGGAGAUGGAGACAGAAGAAACUGCAAGUGGACUUUGAAGAGCUGAGGUGGGGAGUGGGGUCGGCUUCAGCAAGGUUGGCAGGGGAACACGUUUUUAGAAGAUACACACACAAGUUCAAGUGAAAUAGGUGUUGAAUAGAAAGUAUAAACUUAUCAAAUGCACAGUGUCACCGUAUUUCUCGCAGAAACCAGUUGGUGACCUACUUGAUGUGGAGCUUAGUCAAUUGCCAUGGGCAAGGCGGCACUGGCCCUGGGUGACAGACUCUCUGGAGAGCUGUGGCCACUGAGCGUGAGCAAGAUCAACCCACUGCCCAGGGCUAAGUGCUAGCGGGAUUUAAUUCUCACCCACUUCACUCCCGCUGGUAGAUGAUGGCGGCGCUGAGUGCAGAUGUUGUGGGUGCACAUCUGCUCCGGGACCAAUCAGGGAAGAAUGAAAAAGAAGGUAUCUGAGAGAGGACGAUGGCUGACCCUGGACAAGACAGAGUGGGGGACAACAGUUUGCUUGGAGAUCGUAGUUGAACAAGAUGCAGGCCUGAGAGGUACAAGGCAAAAGACAAUAGAAAGCAAUCGUGUGCAGCUGGAAGUUAGAACUUACAUCAGAGAAUGUUGAGAAAUCAGGGGGAAAGGGUUGGUUUGAGUCAAAUUUUAGAAUUCUACAUUUUUUGCAACUUGGACUUAAUUUGCAGAACAGUGGGGAGCCACUAUGUUUCUGAGUAGGGAAAUGAGUGCAUUGUAAGAAAAUGUCUAGCACGGGCAUCUGGGUGACUAUUGGUGAAGCCUCUUGCCUUUGGCUUAGGUCAUGAUUCCAGGGUCCUGGGAUCAAGACCCACAGCCGGCUUGUUG